rnacentral:pre_miRNA from 1 species
CUACUACUCCCUCCGUUCGGAAUUACUUGUCGCAAAAAUAGAUAUAUCUAGACGUAUUUUAGUUCUAGAUACAUCCAUUUCUAAGACAAGUAAUUCCGAACGGAGGGAGUACGAG